GUGAAUCAUCGAAUUUUUGAACGCAAAUUGCACUCCCUGGUAUUCCGGGGAGUAUGCCUGUUUGAGGGUCGUUAGAAGAAAAAUCGAAGCGUCGCUCUUUUUUUUUAGGGUGAUAGCGUCGGAAUUGAGUUGUGUUUCAUAUGUUAAUUCAUGUCUAAGUGGCUUGAAAUUCAUCCAUCCGGUACGAUUAAAGCGUAUUUAAGAUCACUCUUGUUUAAGAACGCGUGAUGACGUAGCAUCUCAUGUAGUACGUUUGCACUGGGUCAU
rnacentral:misc_RNA from 1 species